CCUGCUGGUGUCUGUGAUAAUGAGGGGUACUUAUGCAUACACUAGUUACACAUACCUUCGUCUAUUUAACCUAUCGGGAAGGAACACUGGUGUAAUCUGAAACAAUACAGUGUAGCCUACAUUAUUUUAAAAAAUAGUUCACCUAUUUAAUUCUCUUUGUAUUUGAUUUUAUUCGUGUUUUGCCAAAGUUACUGUCCUGAGCAAUGAUUGCAGUGAAUGCAGCACUCAACAUCUGGCAUGAAGGGUGAAUGAACGGCCUCCUCCAAGACCACUCUGAAGACUGGCUGACAAGAGUUGCUUGGGAAGAACUGAGUGCCACCACUCUCACUAUCUCCUCCCAGUGGCCAACAAGCCUCCUUUGCUAUGGGCUGAACUGCUCUGGCCUGGGAGUAUGAGACCUGAAGCUAUUCCUGAACUCAUGCCUUGUCAUUGUGGUGUCCUUGCUGCUAAUCCCUACAUCUAGCUGGCUGACCUUCAGCUUUCUCAUGCCGUUAUCUGUUGCGUAAUGAACUAGAAGCAGGCUCCAACCACUGCCUAAGCCCUUCAGUAAGAAGGGUGGAAUACUGCAAUGUCUCAAAACUAUGGUUUCAGCAAGCAUGUGUGAAAAUGUCAUUAGAAAGACUUCUCUGCAACAAGAUGGUUGCAUAGAGAACUGUGGGAGUCAGUAUCUACCAUCAUCACUACCAUGAUCUGAGCCUUUUAGGCUUCCUUUGGACCAGUUCUAGCAAAAGCUGACGACCGUUCUGUUUUGUGGAAACUUGUGAGGUUUAGACAUUUGUUUUCCUUCCAUAUUGGAACAACAUCAAACCCAUUAGAACAUUGUCCCAGAAAUGGAAUUGUGUCAAAAUGUCUGGGUUUGGAUCGAAACCUGAGCUAUUUGAGAAGUAAAUGUGCAUGGGUGCGUGCAUGCGUGCUCUUUCUUGUUGAAACACAUAUGUAUCUGUGAAACAGCCUAUUUCGCCAAAAUUUCAUUUAGCCAAAAAUGUCCCAACCAGCUCUAGUUCUUGCUGUUCCUACGUCUGCUUUGCUGUGUAGUGCCACUGAUGUGGCAAAAAAGCUCUCAGGCUGUUAGUGCAUGACUUAAUAAAUAUCCACAUUAGACAAAACAACUAUUUAUUAUGCAUACAAACAAACAUACAAUGGCAUACUUUCCUCCCCUCCCCUCUAACCAGUACUCCCAAUUCCAUAAAUGUGAAUGGUGAAAGCCCACCCCAGAUCAUCGGAGACUGCAACAAUGUUACACAAGCUGGUUUUUCCCCCAAGUUUUCUAAAUAUUUUCCAACUUCUAUUACACACUAUUGUCUUCAUGCUGUAAACUCUUGCCAGAACUCCCCCAUCAGCAUUCUUCACUGACUUUGCAAAUCAUUUUUAGACAGCAAACAAACCUUUUAAAGAGUCAUUCAUUUCUUCAAGAAAGCAUUUAUGUUUAUUAUAUAUGAAAUAAAAACAACUAGAAUGCACAUUUUACAACUCUCAGAUCUCCACUGAAAGCCAUAAACAAAACCUCCUGUGACAGGUCAGAAUUUUAUUCUCUUCUAUGCAUUUAAAUUUGGGAACAUACUUCUUACCUUCCAGAGCAACCAGGACACCCCUCUGUGUAUAAAGCAGUUUUAGCUGCUACCAACUCUACAUAACUUCACCUACACCUGGGAAUCACUGAAUUCUCAGUUGACUUAAUUCUUUAUCACUUCUCCAUUUGCCAGUUGUCCCCUCGCUUUUCUAUGGUAUAGCUCUUCUAUAUUUCUGCAUACAUAUUCUGUAUGGUAAGAUCACCACUUUAUACAACUAGCAAUGUACUGUUCCACUGUUUGCUAUUUGUCUUUUGAUCCUCCUCCUAUUUAUUGAUGGCAUUCUAAGAGGAGUCUAGUGGCUAAUGCACCAGGACUGGUGUCGCUAGAUUUGAGUUCUAUUCCUGACUGUGAAACAGUGAUGCUGUGUAAUUUUGGGCAAGCAGGUGAGUCAUGUAAGCCCGCACCUUCCAAAAUUGUCUCUGAUUUUGGGUUGUUUCCAUUUUUGGGCCCUCAGCUUGUUCCUACUUUCACUUAGAACAGUGCAGAUCCCUUGACUGCUGUGCAGUUGCUCCUGAUUUACACUGGGGUUGAGGAGAAUUGGGCACCUGGCCUCUGAUUUCCCAUUGACUUCAUGUGGAAUUUCUGGUGAGCAAAAUCACUGAAAAUAUGAACUUGGGUGUCUCAUGUUGGGCACCCAAGACUGAGGCAUCCAAAAUUAGAGACAGCUCCUGAAAAUCUUGGCUUUUCACUCUUUCUGUGUCAGUUGUUCCAAUUGUUUAAUACAAAUAUUUGAAUGCCUCAGUGGGAUGCUUUGAGAUCUUUGGAUGCAUAAAUAUCUUUGCUGCAGACAAGUGAAAUGUUCUUUAUAGUAAUAUGGGACAUUCACUGAUGUAUUUCAAAGUAAACGUCUAAACAGUUUCACAUA